rnacentral:rRNA from 1 species
CAUGCAAGUCGGACGGUAGCAGGUAAGUACUUGUACUUAUGCUGACGAGUGGCGGACGUGAGAGUAAUGCUUGGGAAUCUGUCUUAUGGAGGGGGAUAACGACGGGAAACUGUCGCUAAUACCGCGUAGAAUCGGGAGAUGAAAGUGUGGGACCUUCGGGCCACAUGCCAUAGGAUGAGCCCAAGUGUGAUUAGGUAGUUGGUGGGGUAAAGGCCUACCAAGCCGACGAUCGCUAGCUGGUCUGAGAGGAUGGCCAGCCACACCGGGACUGAGACACGGCCCGGACUCCUACGGGAGGCAGCAGUGGGGAAUAUUGCGCAAUGGGGGCAACCCUGACGCAGCCAUGCCGCGUGAAUGAAGAAGGCCUUCGGGUUGUAAAGUUCUUUCGGUGAUGAGGAAGGUUGGUGUGUUAAUAGCAUGCCAAAUUGACGUUAAAUACAGAAGAAGCACCGGCUAACUCCGUGCCAGCAGCCGCGGUAAUACGGGGGGUGCGAGCGUUAAUCGGAAUAACUGGGCGUAAAGGGCACGUAGGCGGACCUUUAAGUGAGGUGUGAAAUCCCCGGGCUUAACCUGGGAAUUGCAUUUCAUACUGGGGGUCUGGAGUACUUUAGGGAGGGGUAGAAUUCCACGUGUAGCGGUGAAAUGCGUAGAGAUGUGGAGGAAUACCGAAGGCGAAGGCAGCCCCUUGGGGAUGUACUGACGCUGAUGUGCGAAAGCGUGGGGAGCAAACAGGAUUAGAUACCCUGGUAGUCCACGCUGUAAACGGUGUCGAUUUGGGGAUUGGGGUUUAGCCCUGGUGCCCGAAGCUAACGUGAUAAAUCGACCGCCUGGGGAGUACGGCCGCAAGGUUAAAACUCAAAUGAAUUGACGGGGGCCCGCACAAGCGGUGGAGCAUGUGGUUUAAUUCGAUGCAACGCGAAGAACCUUACCUACUCUUGACAUCCGAAGAAGAACUCAGAGAUGGGUUUGUGCCUUAGGGAGCUUUGAGACAGGUGCUGCA